AGGCAGAGUCGCUGGCGAUGUCUCCACGCCCGCCGCCACAAUUGAGUCGCCGCUUCUGUGUCCCCCCCCUCCCCCUCUCUCCCCUCACCACCGAUAAGCAGGCGGGUAAGCAACGGUAGAGCGAUUCAAGCACACACCUCUGCUGGCGCACACGCGCUCACCUGUUGACCGACGGCCUGAUUCGGCGUCACAGAGGGCGUUAACUCAGAAGAACGGGAGUGGACGGAGAGGUAACUCACUGUGUUUCGAGCGUAUGCGGCGAGACGCAUGGAUGGCGCUGCCGUCCUGUCGCGAGGCGGCUGCCGCGGCCUCCUCGUUCUGCGCCGCAGCUGCGGUGCCAUUGCGCCAGCAGCGCCGUCAGCGUUGGACGGGGGCGCCCGCGUCAGUGACGACAGCGGCUCCCCUUCUGAAUCCAAGCAUACACAGCAGUGAUUCUUCUCGGCGACCACCCCGCAGCACGACGGUCGUCACACCGCUGCGAGUCUUUCAGUGCAUCUGCGCGCGGCCACACCGUGACGGCGUCAGCCGCACCGCCUUCUCCUGCGUUCACGCGCAGCAGCGAUGCUGCGCCACCACCGCCACCACCCCUGACGGCGACAGUGCCGGCCCGUCUGCCACAAGCGCAGAGGAGUUUGAGAAGGUAUUUUUCGACUACCCAGUGGCAGAGCGGCUCGCCGCGCUCACCGUGGCCAGGCAUGAGGUCGGUCAUUGCACUGAGUCGACAGCGGCGGCUGGGACGUCAGCCACGAGUACGUCGUGGCUGUACAUGCCCAUGAAGGAUUUUGUGAAGAAGAUGUCGCCCCUCACCCGCGACGACAUGUUUCGGCGAAAUCUGGAUGCUCUGGAGUGGAUUACGCAGUCCAAGCUGCUACAACUCGUGAACGAGGGCGGCGAGGUGAUCCGGCUGGAGUCGCUGCGCGCGUACCCGACUGGUGCGGGGCGCGUCAGCCAGAGCGAAGCUGCUCACCCUGCACUUUACAACGGUCUUGUGCACGUCCGCACGACCGUCCCUGCGGCAUGGCUGCUCCAGGCAGGAGGGGGCGCGGGCAGCGUGCCAGAGAUGAAGAGGCCGUGCUCGCAGCUGACCCAUUCGACACCUUCAGGCUGUAGCGUGGCCGGUGCUGCUUCAACGGUAACCGAACCGCCCUUUACGCCGGACGAGCCGCACGACGGAAAAGACGCCGCCGCUGCGCUCUGCACCGCGGAACGAGAGGCGAUCAUCAGGGAAGCUCUCCUGCGAGCCCUUCGAAAUUGGGACGCCGCCAUGCAGCAGCGCCGCGAGCGCGCCGCUUCGGCGACCUCUGACCCCGCCCCAAACCUGCCUCGAUACACUCAUCUCACCACCGUGUACAACGCGAUCCUCUGCGAAGCCGCUGCUACGACGAGCGCGAGUGGCGAGGACACAGAGGUAGAGGUGGCGCCAAAUCUCCUGACUCCGACUGCAAGGUACAUCCUGAAGCGGCUCCGGAUGAGCACUCUUGAGUCCAUCGUCGACAACAUCGGGGUCGUCGUCACCGUGGGUAACACGGCGAGCGCGAGCGCGCAGGCACCGAACGGGUACCCGGCCAUGUCAUCGAGGCCGAUAUGGGUGGUGCGGGGAACGACCCGCAACCCAGUCACGUUCGUCGCGCUGCGCUACUCAACAGACGCGUCACCGCCACGCUUUCGCUACGUGCAACCGCGCAUGACGGUCGCCACGCGCGCGAACAACUACGGCGGCUGGGGGUCGGAAAGCGUGGUGCCGACCAAGGCGGACGUGUACGAGAUCCUCAAAUACGUCCCCGUGAACUGGGGCUCCAUCGGCAAUCUCAACCUCCCGCCCGAGGUGAAGAAGAGGCACAUACGCACGUCGUCGACGUUAGUGUGGUUCCGCCGGCAGCCGUUCUACUUUGAAGUGCGGGACAUGAACGGAACGGUGGAGCUGCGGCGCAGCAUCGUCCUCCACCCCGAGGUGCACGGCAUGACGAAGGAAGAGGCGUGGGAGGUGCUGGAGCUGCAGCUGGCAACUGGGGAGGCGAACAGUCUCGUGCCGCUCGGCGUCGACGGCGCCCCCUUGCGGCCGACGGAGAGAGCCUUCGACCGCAGCGUCACCAAGUUCGUGUACCGGGUGUGUCCGACGUACUUUGCCCCGCUCUCGCUCACCAUGCAGCGCUACGUGAAGAAGAACCUUACGGAGCCGAUGCUCAUGGCCUUUGUGCGGCGCUUCCCGCAGGACUUCGAGGUGCUCACGUCACGCUACAGUGACAUACCGCUGGUCCGGCGUCGCGCCGGUGCCGACAGCGCGCGCUGGAUUAGCGACUUUGUGGCGGACCUGGAGAGGUACCCGGAGGACGUCCGCGCCAUCCUGAUUCUCUGCAACUCCGUAUGCGCCGCGUGGGAUCGACCAGAGUACAUCUACGUGCGGCUCUCACCGACGGAGCAGGAGGUUGUGGGUGGGUAUGCUGGGAUGCAGGUGGUCCUGAGUCGCCACCCGGCGGUCUUUCGUGUGGGUCGGCACUUUGUGUGCCGCGCCGACCCGUCGAAUCCGCUGGCACAGCGAGAGGCAGAGCCGGCCGUCGAUGACGUGACAACUAUUUCCCCCAUUCAUGAGGAGAACCCGUACCACAGCCCGAAGGAACUGGCGCUGGUCUUCCACUAUGUCAUGCCCGAGGAUGAGGCGUGCACGGCUGCGUACCUCGUGGACUGCUCCAGCCCGGCAAUGCGGGCUGUCCUACCGCCGCGCCUAGUGACGAUUGUGCAGCUGUUCCCAAAGAUGUUUGCGUGCACGGAGACGUCGCCAGGGGUGUACUCGAUUCGCAAGGUGAAGCAGCCGGUUCGCAGGGCGGCCCACGGCGCCGCUGGCGCGGCGAGGGACGGCCGCGGCACCGGCGACGACGCUCCCGCACUUGAAGGCAGCCGCUGCAGCGCGGAAAAGGACGCAAUUCAGAUGCUGGAGGACGAGCUUGCCGACGAGGACCACAUGACGCGCGAGGAGGUCGUGCAGGCGGUGCGCAUGCUCAUCCCCGAGUCGGGGGUCGAGGCGCCGCAGCUGCUGCUGUGGGCGUCGAUGAGCGUGCAGCGGGCGGCGAACGAAUACUUUGGCGGCCUCUUGCGGCUUGUUGAGGCGCAUCCGGGGCAGUUCCGCGUUGUCACGAACGAGCACACCAAGAAGGUUUACAGAAAGUGAAAAGACGGCCGGCGCGCCGUGUGCGGUGCUGCAGACCAGGCGAUGGCGAGUAGGUGUGUGUGUGUGUAUUAUGUUGUGUGUGAGGAUGGAAGCCGGUGCUUGCUCGGCGCUCAUGGGCGCGCGCGUCCAUGACUGUUGUCAUCGCUAUAACACAUUUGCAUAAGCAGAGAAAAGGGGGGGGUCGGAAACAAAGGGCGGCGGGGUUUCCCACCGCACACGGCCCCCGCCGCCGGGGAAAGUAGGGGGGGGCUGCCUUUGCGCGUGCGCCCCUUUCCCGCCCUACCGCUUGAAGCCGCGGCGCCUUCGCGC
rnacentral:misc_RNA from 1 species